rnacentral:tRNA from 1 species
GCCGGAGUGGCGUAAUGGUAGCCGCGUCAGCCUUAGGAGCUGGUGUCCUUUGGGCGUAGGGGUUCGACUCCCCUCUCCGGUA